GAUGCUCAUGAAUUCUUCCAGUGCAUGCUGGACAGGCUUCACAGUUUCUACGUGAACUUGAAACUGCAAGAUGAGCCCUCAUCUUCACAUGCUAACAGCUUCAUAAACCAGAUUUUUGGAGGCCGUCUUAGAAGCCAGCUCAAGCUAAAGUGAGGAAGAUAUUUUAUACAAAUGUUCCUGAUGAAUAUAUGCAAGCUGUUGAAGAUCUAGUUGUCCCAAGGACUGAAUUUGGUAAUGCAUCAGAGAAAGAGCAUUACCAUGUGAAGGUGCUUGACAAACAUGGAGUGACUCUUUCAUGCAAAUGUUCGACAACAGAAAAUGGUGGAAAACUUGAGCUUCAUAAGGCAAGU